AUGUAUAACAUUCUCCAACUCUGCCCUGUCCUCCUGGCUCCUUCCUCACAGCCCCAAGGCAAGGGAAGAAUGGAAAACACUGUCUGCUCCAGAAACAUCUGUUAUUGGAAAAAUCAGUCAAUGAAACUGAGCUGCCAAGUUACUGGGAAAUUGGAACUGGUUCCUCUUGGCCCUCAGAGCAUCCUGCCCAAACAGGGGACAGUGCUGGGCUCCCCUCAGGGACACCUAUGGAAGCCCUUGGCCGUGGCUUUGGCUCUGCCAGCACCGCUCCAGGACAUCCCCUGGCUCCAGGGGCUGGUCCUGCAGACCCCCCACAUCCAGGGGCGCUGCCCCUUUGCCAUUCUCAGGACAGGGACCAUGGCACAGUGUCCUAGAUUGCAAGGCAAGAUGUAUUCUAUUUUCCAUCUGUUAGAGGUGUGGCAGUUAUCUCCUGUUAAUUGGGCAGUUUUCUUUAUCUCUUCCACAAACCAAUCCUCCCCCAGGAGAGACUUCUGCUGUUAAUGCCCUAUUGAAUGUUACUGGUGACUGAUAAAAGUUACAUAAUCGCAUUGUGAAAUGCUCUGCCCAGAGGGAGGAGCCAAGCAUUCCUAACUGGAUAUAAUCUGAGGUUUUGGGACAAUAGACUCAGCCUUUUCCACUGGAUUCCUAAGAGGAACAGCUGGGUUUUUCCACGGGAUCUUCAAAUGAGAAUACACCCUUCUACAGGAUCACUUCUCCCUCCUACAGAACCACAUCUGCCACUCCAGGAGGACUGCAGCCAUUCCAGUUUGGACCACUACCAACAUCCUGACAAAUAGGGUGUCAGGUUGUAUUCUGACUGUCAGUAGUUCUUCUUUUAUAUUAUUGCAUGUAUUUUGUUUUCUUUUUUUCCCUUUUCCUAAUAAAUUGUAUUUCUGACUUAGAGUCUCUCACUGGUUUUGCUCUCAACCCAGAACACAGGGGAGCAUGUCAGUGUAUCUGCAGGGAUCCCAUAAAUCAGCCACUUACCACCACUGGGGCACCCUCCUGAGCCAGGUACGUGAUGGUGGCAGAGGUGAAGUUGAAGCGAAGCGAUAUGUGGAAUAAAUAAAUAGACUCCAGAACUUAUGAAGUGGGUGUGAAGUGAUGAAGUGG
rnacentral:lncRNA from 1 species